CUUUUGUGUAACGUUUGAAAAUUGCAAUCCAUUGCAGAAUUACAACUUCACAUAUCGUAAAAUAUUAUCGAGAUGUCAGUUAUGCACACGGCGUCACGCGAGCAAGCCAUGCCGAGUAAUUCAUUUUUUAACAAAAUAAUAAUUCCGAGUAGAAUAUUUUUAACAACAGGAGAAGUUAUUCUAAAAAGCAGUUGUGUUAUCUUCAGGAUCAAAUUAUGUUAUUAAAUAGCAGGCAUGUUGAAAUCCAAUUGCUGAAGCAGAAAAAAAAUUUAUUAGAUGAGAAGUUAACCGACCAUCAUUCAAAUACAUUAUGGUUUUAGGAUGUCGAGUAUAAGAUCCCGGCUGAUGACAGAGUUAUGUACUGACACGUUUCUCUUUUUCUACGGUUUUUAUAAGUGUACCAUAAGAUAACAAUGCAUACAUUAUAACAAAGCAAUAUUUCUCUACUGUUGGAACAACAGAUCAGUGCACUGAAUACACACAACCCGUUCAACAUAAUGAAGUAUCAUCGAGUGUAUUAACGGAGCAUGAAAUACCGAUUUUGUAUUAGCGUAAUAAAAAUGUCUUAAUUUGCAAUUGGAACUGGCGCAAUAAACUACUU